rnacentral:rRNA from 1 species
GAUGAACGCUGGCGGCGUGCCUAAUACAUGCAAGUCGAGCGAACAGACGAGGAGCUUGCUCCUCUGACGUUAGCGGCGGACGGGUGAGUAACACGUGGAUAACCUACCUAUAAGACUGGGAUAACUUCGGGAAACCGGAGCUAAUACCGGAUAAUAUAUUGAACCGCAUGGUUCAAUAGUGAAAGACGGUUUUGCUGUCACUUAUAGAUGGAUCCGCUCCUCAUUAGCUAGUUGGUAAGGUAACGGCUUACCAAGGCAACGAUUCGUAGCCGACAUGAGAGGGUGAUCGGCCACACUGGAACUGAGACACGGUCCAGACUACUACGGGAGGCAGCAGUAGGGAAUCUUCCGCAAUGGGCGAAAGCCUGACGGAGCAACGCCGCGUGAGUGAUGAAGGUCUUCGGAUCGUAAAACUCUGUUAUUAGGGAAGAAAAAAUGUGUAAGUAACUAUGCACGUCUUGACGGUAACUAAUCAGAAAGCAACGGCUAACUACGUG